CACCGGCCACGGCGGCGUUGGCGUUAACUAUUGUAACGUCGCCUCUGCAACUACGUCAACUGUUGAAGAUUGCUGGAAGACAUGCACAGGACAAACGGGGUUUCUGUGUAAGAACGCGGAGUACGAUUUAACAAACAAGUAUUGUCAUAUGUGUGAUGAAGCCUGGUUUGAACUCAGCCCAGAAGCUCGAUCGUAUUCAUCACCGGGUUGGGUGACCUACUUCAGAAACUGUGGAGAUUCAAGCAAAUUAUUCGGACAACUUUGCAGCAGUAACGGAGAUUGCUCAGCACCCAAUUUCAUCUGUAGAGGUGGAACCUGUGUAUGCGAUAUUGGCUACUCAUUCAACUCUUCCACCAACGAAUGUGUGCAAUUCUGCACAGUUUACGGAGAUACCUACACCGGCCACGGCGGCGUUGGUGUUAACUAUUGUAACGUUGCCUCUGCAACUACGUCAACUGUUGAAGAUUGCUGGAAGACAUGCACAGGA